rfam:TPA: Bos taurus chromosome 1, whole genome shotgun sequence.
UCCCUGGUGGCUUAGAUGGUUAAGCAUCUGCCUACAAUGCAGGAGACCCAGGCUCGAUCCCUGGGUUGGGAA